CCUGGAGAAAUUCAGGUGUGUGAAGGCUACCUGUGUCCUGCGUAACUUCAUGAGGAUGGACUUGAGGACCAGGAGGGGAUCUGCAGCUCGCCGCCGUGUCCCAGAGGAGGAGUCUGCUGCUCUGCAGGAUGUUUCAAAGAUGGGGUCCAACAACGCAGCAAGAGACAAUCCGUGUACAGGAGAUCUUCACCUCCUACUUCUUCAAAGAGGGUGCUGUUCCCUGGCAACACCAUAGACUACACUAUGCACAACCAAAGGCUCUUUUAAUAAGAGCCCAUUCACAUUGCAAUAAGAGUAUUCUUCCAUUUACUUAGCUAUGUCAACUGCAGUUAUUCAAUUCAAUUUCUCUCCCUUUGGUUUCUACUUCUCAGGUGAGGGUGCUGUUUAGGUAAGGGUGUGAUGUCUGUACAAAAACAAAACAGGCUGUUUUAAAUCCCCCAUAUUGAAAAAAUGUGGAACAAUUAGUCACCCUAUAACGCACACCUACACACUCAUGUAUCAAUCUGCUUGAUGGAUUGUGUUGUGCAGUAAGCAGGCUCAGGUGUAUAACUGUGGCUCCUUCCACCUUCAAAGAAUAGGCAAGAGGACCAACCAUUGAGAAUAGUAAGACACUUAUUUAUUUCUGUAACUACGCUAUAUUGUUUGUCCUCAUGGGUCCGUUCAUGUUUUUCAGCAUAAAGUACUCUGCAGCCACUUAGUGUGGUGUGGACACCAGGUUAUAUCAGCUGUGUCGGUGAACCCCUCCUGGAUCUGAACUGGCUACAUAGAGGGCACAUCAUGAUCAGAGAUAUGUUUUGAUGUGGGAGGAUGCCAACCCCCAGUCCCAAUAUCACCACCUCACCCUCUUUUAAGAUAACCUUUGGGCCGGCGUGAGACACUUAUGUAAUUGUGAUAAACUGAGAGAAUAUUUAUGUAGCACUGUGAUUCAUUAAUCAUGUGUUGCCUUCCCUGCUCCUACGUGCUUACCUCUUUCCCUUUCUGUCUUUUACACCUCUCCCGCCACCUCUUUCUUCCUCUGUUUUUAUAAUGCACAACAGAUAUGCAUUGAAGUACAGAUUGAAACUUGUAUUUAUCACACUUGAAUAAUGAGCUUUUCAAUAAAGCGUUUCACAUUCUCUAUUGGUUGAAAUUAAGUGUAAUUUGAUGAAAUACUACACCUAUCCUGUGUUUAUCAGAUCAAUGCAGAUGAAGGGCAUUAGAUAUUGAGAUGAACCGGUGUUAGAGUAUUUACAUGAUGCAUAGGAAGUGUAGUGUACUGUUUUUUAACAUUAUAUUUCUGUAUAUAUGAAUUAACUAGUUAAAUCCUGUUUCUAGUCUAUUAGUUACAAUGUGUAACCAUUGAUGUCUCAGGACCAAGAUUGGUAAACACUGUUGAAGUGUAUAAUUGUAAUACAUACAUGCAGACACAG